AACCUAGCACACCUGCGGUGUGUACCUGCGGAAGGAUCAUUACCGAGUUUACAACUCCCAAACCCAAUGUGAACCAUACCAAACUGUUGCCUCGGCGGGGUCACGCCCCGGGUGCGUCGCAGCCCCGGAACCAGGCGCCCGCCGGAGGGACCAACCAAACUCUUUACUGUAGUCCCCUCGCGGACGUUAUUUCUUACAGCUCUGAGCAAAAAUUCAAAAUGAAUCAAAACUUUUAGCAAU
rnacentral:misc_RNA from 1 species